UUUUUUUUUUUUUUUUGGGUAAUAACCUAUUAUUAUCCCUCGCCGAUCGCUUGAGGAGAUUUUUUUUUCCUUAAAUUUUUUUCCUUUUCUUUGAAACUGAGGGAGCUUCCUCAAGACAUAUUUAUGGUGUAUGAUUAACCACGUAAUUAAUAACCUUAACCACGUUUCUGCCUAUUAUCAUCUUUUUCAUUAGAGGCUUAAUUAUCUUAGUGCAGAUGUUGAGUGUGAUUGUACAUUCGUCCCAAAAACUUUCCUUGUUUGGACAGCAAAAAGAAAUUGCUACGUUUUCCGUGAACACAUUUUCUAAUCACAUUUUUAUCUCACAUAUAUCAAAUCGUUAUAGUAAUUUUUCUACAAAAAAUUCAAAAAAAAUGCAAACAAGUUAUUUGCACUUAAAAUUGUGUAUUGGUGGAUAAUAUUCUCCUUUUUAUGCCUUUUCUUUUGAGUAGUGAAAUGAUGUACUCGAGAAAAGGCAAACGAUAUUUAAAUUUUUAUUUUGAUGACAAUUCUUGUUAAAAUGAUGAUGAAAUUAUCCCUUUUAAAGUCCAAAUUGCAUUUAUAUUUGGAAGGACAAUUUUGGCAUUUAAUUCAAUAAUGGCUGCAGAAGUAAAAUUCAAACAGUCGAAUUAACAUCACCCUUGAGAACAGGAUAAAAAGAAAAAAUAAUUUUCUCCUAGGGAUGGCUCGAAAAGUUAAAUGUUAUGCAAAUUCUAUACUUGAGCCGUUCAAAUUAUUCGCAUUUGUCUCAUUCGCAUGAGGUCAGGGGAGCAAUCAUUCAGGCCUCUAGUCCCAUCUUUGCCUUUGCAUCAGUGGCAAUUCACAGAAAAACAUGCGCAUUUUUAUCCCUAAACUUACGAUUUUCAUUUUUCUUGAAAAAUAAUCAAAAGUAAAACCAGAAUAAUUGUUGGAAAGGGAUCUGUCCAUCUCUUUACUUUUGCCUUCAGUUCAAUUCAAAGCUUGAAACAGCUAAAUGAAAUAAAAUAUCUAGUUCCUAUCCCUUGGAUCAGUCGACAUUCGUUGGCAUGUCAAUGGGUAGGAUUUGAAUUUGAUGCUUUAAAGUUUAAAUUUGAUUCCUUUGAUUCAAAUUCAAAUCCAUUAAAUUUUAUUAGAUCCAAACAUUUAUGAAUCUGAAUAAGUAAAUCCAGACUCGAACUCUGAUGAAUUUAAAUAUCUCAUGAGUAUUCUUUUUUAACAUACAGUGAAGAACUAAAGUAAAAUAUUUUAAAAAUAUAUAGGAUUCAAAAAUAAUAUAAAUACCAUCUAAUUUUUAUUUUCAAAUAAUAAAAUUAACAUCGAAGAAGUUGAAUGUGAAAUACGAUGAAUUCAAAGAAAAAACUAUUAUCAACUACUUUUUAUUUGUUUUCAAAACUGCAUCGGCAUCCACAUUCAAUCAAUCUAAGUUAUUUUACAAAUGUACUGAAUAAAAUCCGACCCAUUGAUAUUCCUAGACACCGCAAGUACACAGUCAAAGGCCAUGCGCUGUUUCCUCGGAAGGAAAAAAAUGAAAAGAAAAAUGUGGACUUGGGCGGUCCACGCUCCCAAGAUUGGAAAACAUUUAACAUGCGCGCAUGUUUAUCCCUCAUGGAGACAGCGUUCGUUCUAAGGUCGGAAAAAGCUCUGAUUGAUCAUCACUACCGUAUGAUGAAAGGCAUGCAAAUUCCGCCACAUACUCGGGCUUCCUGUCCCAGCCAGCCACCGUCCAAACACGUAUACUCGGGCAUUCUAUCCCAGCCAGCCACCGCCCAAACACACACGUAAACAAACACACACGUAAACAAACACUUGCUCAAGAGAAAAGUGCGCAGGAGGACCAACAUGAGAAAUGGAUCUUUCUCAGUUUAGCAGGGACCAAGUGCUUUGGCUCGCAAGAAAGAACGAUUCAAGAGACAACUUGCAUCAACUCUCAAGGGAGAAAUGGACAUAGUUUUCUUUUAUUUUGGUCAUAUGCUCUUGACAGAAACAAUUCAAGCCAAAAAAAAGGGAAGGAAGAUUUGCAAAAUGUAUAGCAAACUACUGAAAUUGACUUGAUCACUUCACAUCAUCUCAAAAGAGUUCCCUUUUGCCUCUGCCACCGCAAGUAACUACUCAAACGUUAAAUGAUUUACCAAUUUCUGAAAGUUUCAAGAAGAGUAGGUACCACUCAUAUGUCACAGUGAAAACCCUGUUGUCUUUCACAUAAUUUCAGAAUGGGUGCUUCGCUCUAAAUUGGAUCCCAAAACACG
rnacentral:lncRNA from 1 species